GCAUUCUCUAUCUUCUUCCUUCCAGUGCAAGGUGAAGUUGUUGUUGGCCGUCGUCGUCCAGGUUAUUUUCUCUGGCGUUUAUGUUCUUCCGUGGUGGGGAAGACGGCGAAAUGGAUUUUAUUCAGUUCCUCACUGAUCAAGCGGGUGGCAGGUUUCUGACUUGAAUGGAAGCCUCUGCCCAUCAUCUCGUUCAUCACUCAACUAUGCUGCGGCACAUUGCGAAAAGGCGAUGGAGCUUUUCGAGGAUCGGCACCUGCUGAGAAUGUUCCUGAUCAGCAGCAAUGACUCUGCUCGUGGUUCGCAACUGACACGAGCAAUUGACUGCUCCUUUCUUCGAGUCGUGGAGGAACUGGAAAGGGCAACAAUUUAAUUUCCAACGUACAACUGACGACCUGCGCAGGAUUCUACAUCUGCCACUAAACUGUCUUCAUCUUGUAAUGUGAAGGAAACUUACAUCUGUCAAUGGACUUGGACCCUCCGCCUGGAUCUUUUGCUAGCCAUGGUCGCCACUGUCGGACGUCUCAAUCAACCAGUCAGCAGACUCUUUAUGUGUUCUUACUCCUACUACAUUCAAGAGCAAUAUAACGUUUUGAAGCUUUA